rnacentral:rRNA from 1 species
UACGGGGGGAGCAAGCGUUGUUCGGAUUUACUGGGCGUAAAGGGCGCGUAGGCGGUCAGCACAAGUCAGUUGUGAAAUCUCCGGGCUUAACUCGGAAAGGUCAACUGAUACUGUGCGACUAGAGUGCAGAAGGGGCAACUGGAAUUCUCGGUGUAGCGGUGAAAUGCGUAGAUAUCGAGAGGAACACCUGCGGCGAAGGCGGGUUGCUGGGCUGACACUGACUCUGAUGCGCGAAAGCCAGGGGAGCGAACGGG